UCCUCGGUAGUAUAGUGAUGAGUGUUUCCGCAUAUGUCCCGUGGAAGACCGGGGUUCGAUUCCCCACCGGGGAA